rnacentral:rRNA from 1 species
UACGGAGGAUGCGAGCGUUAUCCGGAUUUAUUGGGUUUAAAGGGCGCGUAGGCGGGACGCCAAGUCAGCGGUAAAAGACUGCAGCUAAACUGUAGCACGCCGUUGAAACUGGCGACCUGGAGACGAGACGAGGGAGGCGGAACAAGUGAAGUAGCGGUGAAAUGCUUAGAUAUCACGAAGAACUCCGAUUGCGAAGGCAGCUCACUGGACUGCAACUGACACUGAUGCUCGAAAGUGUGGGUAUCAAACAGG